CUUUGGUUGAUGUUAUCAUUUCUUGCACCGAUUCCCUCAAACAGAUAUCAGAGCAUGUGAAGAUGCUAUUGUUUAUUUAGAUGCUGGUUCUACAGAGUUUCCAGUUUAUAGGGGCAUAUCCUAUACUUGUUGAUCUUGGAGCACAAGCUAUCUGCAGUUUGGAAAGUAUGUCAGUACUUGAUGCGGUCAAAAAUCGGAAAAGCAAGAGGAAACCAUCUGCUUAUGUGCAUACUUGAUUCGCUUCAGUGCAGUCCUGGUGACAACAUCAGCUCCUUGCUCAAAAAGUAGUGGAAUUCUAUUUGCAAAUCGAAAUAUAUUCAAACCCUGAGACAAGUGUUAUACCAUUAUAUGCUUUGUCAUCAACAGACCAUUAAUUAUUUUAGAACAGA